GUGGGGAAUCUUCCGCAAUGGACGAAAGUCUGACGGAGCAACGCCGCGUGAGUGAAGAAGGUUUUCGGAUCGUAAAGCUCUUUCGUUAGGGACGAACGUGCUCUUUGUGAAUAAUGAGGAGUAAUGACGGUACCUAAAUAAGAAGCCACGGCUAACUACGUGCCAGCAGCCGCGGUAAUACGUAGGUGGCAAGCGUUGUCCGGAAUUAUUGGGCGUAAAGCGCGCGCAGGCGGGAUAUCAAGUCUGUCUUAAAAGUGCGAGGCUCAACCUCGUGAGGGGACAGAAACUGGUAUUCUUGAGUGUCGGAGAGGAAAGUGGAAUUCCAAGUGUAGCGGUUAAAUGCGUAGAGAUUUGGAAGAACACCAGUGGCGAAGGCGACUUUCUGGACGAUGUCUGACGCUGAGGCGCGAAAGCUAGGGGAGCGAACGGGAUUAGAUACCCUUGUAGUCC
rnacentral:rRNA from 1 species